GGUCAGCUGACACAUCCCUGCCAAUCUCCGGCAGACCCUCCCUCCCAGACCCUCCUACUUCCUGGACAGCAUCCAUGUUGAAGGCAGCUUCAACAUGAAUGCUGUCCAGGAGGUGGGAGGGUCUGGGAGGGAGGGUCUGCCGGAGAUUGGCAGGGAUGUGUCAGCUG